rnacentral:rRNA from 1 species
AUUGAACGCUGGCGGCAGGCCUAACACAUGCAAGUCGAACGAGUGGCGGACGGGUGAGUAAUGUCUGGGAAACUGACUGAUGGAAGGAGAUCAAUCCUGGCAACGGUAGCUAAUACCGCAUCCCUACAGAUGUGCCCGGAUGGGAUUAGCUUGUUGGUGGGGUAACGGCGCACCAAGGCGACGAUCCCUAGCUGGUCUGAGAGGAUGACCAGCCAAACUGGAACUGAGACACGGGCCAGACGCCGACGGGAGGCAGCAGUGGGGAAUAUUGCACAAUGGGCGCAAGCCUGAUGCAGCCAUGCCGCGGGUAUGAAGAAGGCCUUCGGGUUGUAAAGUACUUUCAGCGGGGAGGCGUUACCCGCAGAAGAAGCACCGGCUAACUCCGAGCCAGCAGCCGCGGUAAUUC